GCACUUGGAGGGUUGGAGGUGUUCUAGCAAUGUCCCGUGCUUUUGGAAACCGCAUGCUUAAGCAAUUUGUUGUUGUAGAACCUGGCAUCCAGGAACAAGAGCUUGAGGAAGAACUUCAAAUGCUAAUUCUUGCAAGUGAUGGUCUCUGGGAAGUAGUACCUAAUGAUGUAUAUCAUGGUGGUGGUGGUAGUUACACUAUUUGUAUUAUGUCAUCAAGAUGAUGAUCAUAAGUGUGUUUGGCAAUACUAUUAUUAUUUUACAAAAUAUUAGAAAAUAGUCUAUUGCAAUCUUCAUAUUUGGUAGGAGCAUUUUAUAUUAGAAUUUAUUUAAAAA